GAAAAUUGUUGAGUUCUGCCCAUUUCUUGGCUGUUCGAAUGGAGAAGAAAGAGGAGGGCUGCUGCAUGUUUAAUUUUUGAGCUCAUUUAGGAGUUGGUUCCUUAAGAAACUGCUCAAGAGUAGGUUCGGCUGCUGUUUGGUAAGUCCUUGCAAUGAAACCUUGAAAAUUUUCCAUGUUUAUUAUGUGUUUAAUACAUGCAGGUAAAAUGCGGAUUUAAGGACUGUUAAGCAAAGUUAGUAGUUAAAAAUACAUGUUAUUUGUUACCAAAAUACUGGUGUUAUAAGUGAAGAAGAGUUGAUAAACAAAUGUAUAGUUGGUGUUGAAACCUGUCGUUGAAUGCUGAUAGUUUCAGCAUGUAAUUGUCGUAUUUUAUAGUGCAAUAAAUCCUGGUGUAAUUGAUCUGCUGCUGUUCUAAUUAAGGUAAAAUGUUGGUU
rnacentral:lncRNA from 1 species